GAUACGUGGAGCUGGGCAGGAGUGCAGAUGGUGCCCACAUGGCACAGACCCGGGCUGGCAGCAGUACCGGGAGCGUGCAGAAUGCAGCUGGUCCUCUUGAUAAUGCCAAAUGCCAUAUAUACCACAAGGAUGCCACUGUCGCAAAGACAAAGGCCACAGGUCCAGGCCCUGACAUAUCCAUUCCAGAAAAUAUGGAUGGAAUCCAGACUUGGAACAGCAGUGGAAGGUGUCCCCUACAAAACGCCCCGUUCUUUACAGGCACAGGUCAUGGCCCUCAGAGCCUGUGGUUGUUGCCGGCCAACUGUUUCCUGCGGUUUCCUGAGGUGUUCCCCAUGAAUAUGGUUGUCAACCCCCUAUUUCCCUCCAAUCUUCUGCCUGCCCCAGGAUUUGGCCUCAAUCCAUACUAUAUUGUUGGCGGCUUUUCCCUGUGGUCUUAUCAACAUGGAAACUGUGUCAUUUUUUUCCAGGCAAUGUAAAUCCAUCAGCAGCGGGCAGACGGCGCUUCACGUGCACAGAGAACGGUAAGGUUGAUUUGCUCUGUUCUUUGAGGGGAAAAUUGUAGCACAGUCUGCACCAGUGAGAAGGUGAGGUGAAGUGUGCUACAUCAUAUUUCACGGGUCAUCUGAGCUCCACAAUGAAGCCCCCGCCAAGCAAAAACACACUUGCUCAAGUAUGAGAAUGCGCACGGUGACUUUCGUAACCUUCCAUUGUCUUUUUUUAAGUGUGACUGCAGCUAAUUCCAUUCGCGAGAUGCGCCGCGUUGUGAAUGACACAUGCGAUUAUGUAGCUUUUAAAGCCUUUCAACUCAGCACUUAUGUGCUUGUCCAAGGUAAAAAUUCCUAAUUCUGCUUGUUCAGAGAUGAAAGCCGUUUAAAAUGCUCCGCCGCUGAGUAGCUAUGGGCUUGCAAUUAAAGAUAAUGGGACAACAUUUUAGGGGAAACGUCGCUAAAGAUGUUGUGCCAAAAAGUAAGUCAUGUUUUCUUUUUUACACUAAAAUUAUAGAAUUAAAAGUCAACAAACAUUUACUGUAAAAAGCUAUAAAUGGAUAAUUCACCCAAAAAUGAAAUUCUG